AAAAGAUCCUAAGAACAUUAACUCCUCUUUGAAAUCUACAAGGGAUUUUUCACAACCUCAAAACAUUACUUAGCUCCUAACAACUUUGCUAGCCCUCUUUUUCUUUUUUUUUUUUUUUUUUUUUUUUUUUUUUUUUUUUUUUUUUUUUUUUUUUUUUUUUUUUUUUUUUUUUUUUUUUUUUUUUUUUUUUUUUUUUUUUUUUUUUUUUUUUUUUUUUUUUUUUUUUUUUUUUUUUUAGAUGGGGGCCAAGACUUUUCAUAACUUGAGCUAGAGGUUUUUCUACUUAUCCCAAUAAGACAAUUCACUUAAACACAAAGAGUCAUUUUUUUUCCUUUUUCAUUGCUCCCAAAUCAUAAUCACAACUCUCACCCCC
rnacentral:lncRNA from 1 species